GCCGCCGUAGCUCAGUUGGUAGAGCAGCGGUUUUGUAAACCGCAGGUCGUCGGUUCGAGUCCGACCGGUGGCU
rnacentral:tRNA from 2 species